rnacentral:tRNA from 1 species
AUAAAUAUAAACAUUUUAAUGCUUUUAAAAAAGUUAGAAGCUUUUUAUAUGAUAUUUCUUU